GUUACCCUGCGAUGUUCGCGAUGUAGCACAUCCGGUUUUGAGCCAACACCCCUUAAAUGGAGCUCAACAUUUUGGAAAGGACGCGAUAGGCUUCGGCCAAGGCGGAAAUUUCGAAGCGGGCUCCUACCUGCGUUUGCAGGUUCAAAACUACGCUGCACACGGCAUUGUGGGGUAUUU
rnacentral:other from 1 species